AUACGGAGGGUGCAAGCGUUACUCGGAAUCACUGGGCGUAAAGCGCGCGCAGGCGGGCUGAUAAGUUGAAUGUGAAAGCCUACGGCUCAACCGUAGAACUGCAUCCAAAACUGUCAGUCUAGAGUCUGGGAGGGGAAGAUGGAAUUAGUUGUGUAGGGGUAAAAUCCGUAGAGAUAACUAGGAAUACCAAAAGCGAAGGCGAUCUUCUGGAACAGUACUGACGCUGAGGUGCGAAAGCGUGGGGAGCAAACAGGAUUAGAAACCCCAGAGUCC
rnacentral:rRNA from 1 species